rnacentral:rRNA from 1 species
UACAUGUGGGGCAAGCGUUGUUCGGAAUUACUGGGCAUAAAGGGUGCGUAGGCGGUUUGUUAAGUCACUGGUGAAAGUUUUCGGCCCAACCGGAAAAUUGCCUGUGAUACUGGCGAACUUGAGUGCGUGAGGGGUGGGGGGAACGAGCAGUGUAGCGGUGAAAUGCGUAGAUAUUGCUCGGAAGGCCGGAGCCGAAGGGGCCCCAGCUGGUACGUAACUGACGCUGAGGCACGAAAGCGUGGGGAGCAAACAGG